CUCCGCCAAAGCCCUCUCCACCGCCCCUCGAGUCACAACUCCGCCCUCGAACCCCACCCCAAUCUUCCACACCCGCGACAGCACCCCAGCAUUCAGCCUCUGAUCCCCUAUAAACGGGCGGCAAAUCAUCGGCACCCCUGCCGUCACACUCUCCAUUAUCGAGUUCCACCCACAAUGCGUCACAAAAGCCCCCACCGCAGAGUGCCCUAGCACCUGCAGCUGAGGUGCCCACGACACCACCAUCCCACGCCCUCUCGUCCUGUCCAAAAACCCUUGAGGCAACUGCGCUUGCGCCGCUGGCUUCAUCGACCAUAUGAAAGGGAUACCACUCGCUUCAAGCCCCUCAGCGACCUCCACCGCCUCUGGCGGCGGCAGCGACAUGAUGCUGCCAAAGCUGAUGUAGACAACGGUUGCAGGAGCGUGGGUGUCAAGCCACUGGACGCAGCCGUGGGUGUCGGCCGGCUCCGGGGGUUGUUGGGUGAGGAGGUGUUGGGGACCGAUGGGGAGGGAGAGCUUGAACAUCUUGGAGAGCUCGUUGUCGAGAGCAGGGUCGAGGCCUUGGAAGGUGUUGAGAGCGACAGCAGUGGCGCUGGGGAGUGCUUCAGCCAUGCGGUGGAGGAGGCAGGCGAAGACGGAGUCGAGGUUGCCGAAAACUACACCUUCAGGGAGUUCUCGGACUUCGAGAGGUGACAUGUAGGGGAUACAGUCGAGAGGUUCAUUUGCCCGGGAAGGGAGAGCGUUUUCUCCUAUCUUGAGACGAAGGAAGUCAGUAUACAUAUGAGCAGCAAGGCUGUAAGUCCCACUAGUCCACAGUGCAACCCAGGGCACCCUCAUCUCUUCUGCCAUCUUGCCCGCAAACCAAAUAAAAGCGUCACUCACGAUACAGCUGACCCGUAUCCCGCCUGAUCCCUCCACCGCUUUCUCAAUCGCCUUCCUGACAUUGACGAUCGCCACCUUAAGAAACAAGCGCACCUCCUCCUCUGGGUCGUGUGCUGGCAUUAUGUAGCCCUCGGGGCAGCCAUCGGAUAAGUCGUAGACUCGAAUCUUGACACCAGAUGGGACGGAGGAGAUGGCCUUGGAGAGGCUGAUGUUUGAGCGAGCGGAGUUGAUGAAGGAGAAGGUGGUAGAGGGGGCGGCGGUGGCGAGUGCGGUUGCGAGGGAGAAGAGGGGGGCGGCGUGUGUGCUGAAGGGGAAGGCAAUGAGGGCGACGUGGUGGUCACCUGAUGAACCCAUGGUGGCUGAGAGAGAGCGUCGACGGCGGUGGUUGUUGGCUGGGGAG
rnacentral:misc_RNA from 1 species